AUGAAACAAAAGCACAAACAUUUGCCCUUCAAAGGGAAGGAAAAGGGACCAUCGAAAUUGGGGGGAACCGAGCUGGAAGCAGUACCUGGUGAAGAGUGUGCCGCAGUCACAGCGAUACUCGCGGGUGCCGCAGGUCUUGGCAUGGGCCUUGAGGUCGGCCUGGACGGCGUAGCGCUUGCCGCAGCGUGGGCAGGCCCAUCGCUUCUCGCCGUGCUUGCGGCAGAAGUGCUUCUUGAUGCCCGUGAGGUCCCCGAGCGCGCGGGCGGGGGAGUGGUGCACGCAGCCGGGCUCCGGGCAGACGUAGACCCUCCGGCGCGGCGGCGCCGCCCCGGGGCCGCGCUGGCGCAGCCGCCACGGAAGGUUGUGGCCCCGGCGGUGGAGCUGCAGGUUCUGGUCCCUCUGGAAGCCCUUGCCGCACACCUCGCACACGAACCGGUUGGUCGCCAUGAGCGUCCCCGGCGACAGCGCGAUCACCUCCGCGUCCGGAUCUGCACAAGCACACGGAAACCGACCACCAUCAGACCAAGAAAGCUCGCGCGAGCCGUACCAACCACCCCGCAAAACCCGAAGCGCGCGCUCUCGCCUGGCGUCCCGGGGAGGUUCCUCUUCUUCUUGGGCGGCGCCGGCGUCGCGGCCGCCUCCGGCUGCUCCGGCUCCGUCGGAUUGGGCGGCAUCCCCGGUCGAUCUGGCGCCGCGGCCGCCGCUCCGCUCAGCUCACAGCCCUCCAGCUGCUCCUUAUCGGCGCGCAGACCCGCGUCAGCGAACGGAGCGCGCGGCGGCGGCGGAGGCGGUGGACGGAGGAUUUUUUUUUUCUCUCCCUCUCUCCUCCUUUCUUCGCUUCUUCUCUCGCUGGCUGGCUGGCUUGGCUUGUCUUGCUUUCGAUUGGGGGUUGGGGGUGUGGGGAGAUGGAUGGGAGUCAGAGCGGCCGCGGCAUCGGGAUGA
rnacentral:rRNA from 1 species